AUUGAACGCUGGCGGCAGGCUUAACACAUGCAAGUCGAGCGAGCGGCGGACGGGUGAGUAAUGUCUGGGAAACUGCCUGAUGGAGGGGGAUAACUACUGGAAACGGUAGCUAAUACCGCAUACCAUCAGAUGUGCCCAGAUGGGAUUAGCUAGUAGGUGGGGUAAUGGCUCACCUAGGCGACGAGCCCUAGCUGGUCUGAGAGGAUGACCAGCCACACUGGAACUGUGAAACGGUCCCGACCCCUACGUGAGGCAGCAGUGGGGAAGAUUGCACAAUGGGCGCAAGCCUGAUGCAGCAAUGCCGCGUGUGUGAAGAAGGCCUGCGGGUGGUAAAGCACUUUCAGCGGGGAGGCGUUACUCGCAGAAGAAGCACCGGCUAAAUCCGUGCCAGCAGCCGCGGUAAUUC
rnacentral:rRNA from 1 species